AGGAUUCCCCGAGUAGCGGCGAGCGAAACGGGAAGAGCCCAGCGCUGAAUCCUGCCGCCAGAGCGGGCGGCCGGGAAAUGUAGCGUUCGGUAGGAGAGUUAAAAUUAAACGCGCGGUCAUUAGUCACGGCCGCCAGUCCAAGUUCAUCUUGAACGGGGCCCACUUACCCGCAGAGGGUGCCAGGCCCGUGGUGACGGUGGCCGGCCGCGACGGUCUCCCUACCCAGAGUCGGGUUGCUUGAGAGUGCAGCCCUAAGCGGGUGGUAAACUCCAUCUAAGGCUAAAUACUACCACGAGACCGAUAGCGAACAAGUACCGUAAGGGAAAGUUGNNNNNNNNNNNNNNNNNNNNNNNNNNNNNNNNNNNNNNNNNNNNNNNNNNNNNNNNNNNNNNNNNNNNNNNNNNNNNNNNNNNNNNNNNNNNNNNNNNNNGUGCACUUCUCCCUCAGUAUGACACCGCGACCCGUCGCGCUGCCGUCGAACGCGCCGUGCGGUUGACCCGCCUCUCUACGAGGGGCGGAGCCGCGGCGUACGCGGCGGCAGUCUGAUACACGUAUAUCAUAAAGAGCGACGGUAGAGAACGAGGAUCGAGUCCGCCCCCCUCCGGGGGGGCGUCCGUCGCCGCCCGGCGGCGUCCCGUUGGCGGCCCCCGGCGUCUUGAGCGUCGCGGGUCAGUCGCCCUCGGGGCGUCCGCGUCGGGGCGAGCGCUCUCGGACGGGACUCGUACCGGUCUGCGGUGGUUUUGUUUCGGGCACUCACAGGACCCGUCUUGAAACACGGACCAAGGAGUCUAGCAUGUGCGCGAGUCAUUGGGACUCUUUUGACUAAACCCAGAGGCGCAAUGAAAGUGAAAGGGCGCGCCUCGCGCGCGCCCACCAGGGAAGAUGCGCGGGCGCCCUCGAGCGCCCCGCCGCAUUCCCGAGGCGUUUCGAGAAAGCCACCGCGCGACUAUCGAGACGCACUGAGAGCGUACACGCUGGGACCCGAAAGAUGGUGAACUAUGCCUGGUCAGGUCGAAGUCAGGGGAAACCCUGAUGGAGGACCGAAGCGAUUCUGACGUGCAAAUCGAUCGUCGGAACUGGGUAUAGGGGCGAAAGACUAAUCGAACUAUCUAAUAGCUGGUUCCAUCCGAAGUUUCCCUCAGGAUAGCUGGCGCUCGGGAAACAUGCGCCCCGAGAGACGGGCGCAUUCGAACAGUCUCAUCCGGUAAAGCGAAUGAUUAGAGGCAUUGGGGCCGAAAUGGCCUCAACCUAUUCUCAAACUUUAAAUGGGUGAGAUCUCCGUCUUGCUCGAAGAUGAAGUCGGAGCUCGGAUGGGAGUGCCAAGUGGGCCAAUUUUGGUAAGCAGAACUGGCGCUGUGGGAUGAACCAAACGUCGAGUUAAGGCGCCCAAUGAACGCUCAUCGGAGACCAUAAAAGGCGUUGGUCGCUCAGGACAGCAGGACGGUGGCCAUGGAAGUCGGAAUCCGCUAAGGAGUGUGUAACAACUCACCUGCCGAAGCAACCAGCCCUGAAAAUGGAUGGCGCUGUAGCGUUCAGCCUAUACUCGACCGUCGCAGGCAAGGGGGGCGGCUCAACCCCCCUCACGGGGGGCGGCCGCCUUGAGGCCGCGACGAGUAGGAUGGCCGCGGCGGUGAGCGCAGAAGGGUCUGGGCGCGAGCCCGCCUGGAGCCUCCGUCGGCGCAGAUCUUGGUGGUAGUAGCAAAUACUCAAGCGAGGUCCUUGAGGGCUGAUGUGGAGAAGGGUUUCGCGUUAACAGCCGUUGCACGCGAGUUAGUCGAUCCUAAGCCCUAGGAGAGAUCCGAUGUCGAUGAUGGUGUAAAGUUUAUUAUAAUUUAUAUAUAAUCUGUAAAGUACACCCGUCGGGCGAAAGGGAAUCCGGUUGCAGUUCCGGAACCCGGCUGCGGAACCGUCUUAAUAAAUCGUUCCCUCCACAACGGAGUGUUCGUCGGGGUGACCCAAAGUGGCCUGAAGACGCCGACGGGAGGUCCGGAGAGAGUUAUCUUUUCUGCCUGAGCGUUCGAGCGCCCUGGAAUCCUAUAGCGGGGAGAUAGGGCUCGGGACGCGAAGAGCAUCGNNGAUGCGGCGGUGUCCGGAUCGGCCCCUCGGACCUUGA
rnacentral:rRNA from 1 species